GGGUUUGUUUUAGGAUUAGGGUUUGGUUAGGGUUUGAUUUAGGGUUUAGGAUUUGGAUUAGGAUUUGAUUAGGAUUUUUUUAGGGUUUAUUUAGAAUUUAGGAUUUGAUUAGGAUUUGAUUUAGGAUUUAAUUAGGAUUUUAUUUAGGAUUUAGGAUUUGAUUAGGGUUUGGUUUAGGAUUUAGUUAGGGUUUUAUUUAGGAUUUAGGAUUUGGUUAGGAUUUGGUUUAAGAUUUAAGGUUUGUAUUAGGAUUUGGUUUAGGGUUUGGUUAGGGUUUGAUUUAGGGUUUGGUUUAGGAUUUGAUUUGGGUUUGGUUUAAGAUUUGUUUAGGAUUUGAUGUAGGGUUUAGGAUUUUAUUAGGAUUUAAGAUUUAAUUAGAUUUGGCCUGAAAUUUGAAUGAAGUUCAAUAGGAUUUUAACUAAAAUUAAAUUAAGAUUGAGUUGAGAUGUAUUUGAAUGAUAAUUGUGAUCGUUCUAAUAUUUUUUUAUGAAUUCUUAUUGUUUGUUAGAAAUUUCUUUGAAGUUUUUUUUGAAA
rnacentral:lncRNA from 1 species